UUUAAAAUCGGUUCACCAAAUGUGAAAUCAGAUUGGGUGUAUGUGGACAAUCUUGUAUUGGCACUUCUAUUGGCUAGCAUGGGACUUUUGGACGACAUCCCUGGCAGAAAAGGGCAUCCAAUUGCUGCUGGUCAACCUUAUUUUAUAUCAGAUGGUAAUUACUCUAUUGGCUAGCAUGGGACUUUUGGAUGACAUCCCUGGCAGAAAAGGGCAUCCAAUUGCUGCUGGUCAACCUUAUUUUAUAUCAGAUGGUAAUUACUCUGUGUUAUAUUUGUUCUGUAGGAUUGUGAAGUCUUGGACCUAGUAGAGGUGUAAUUAUCGAUUAGGAUUAUGACUUCGGGAAUCUCCCCAGACUUAAGCAUGGAUCUUGGACCAAUUAAUUGCUUAUCAGAGUACAAAUUUUUCUCUGAGCAGAGCAUUUGUUACUUGCUGCAUCACCUUCCUACUUCAUUG
rnacentral:lncRNA from 1 species